AUCUACGGCCAUAGAAUCGAGAAAAUGCCGAACCCCGUCCGCUCUUCGAAGCUUCAAGUUCGAUAUCGCUCGGUUAGUACCAUCGUGGGGGACCAGAUGGGAAUCCCGGGUGCUGUAGUUU
rnacentral:rRNA from 1 species